UNCCGCGCACCCUNCNNCUCGNGGGGNACAGGGAAAAGCUUGCUUUUUUGCUGACGACCGGCGAACGGGUGCGUAACGCGUAUAGAAUCUGCCUUGUACAGGAGGAUAGCCUUUAGAAAUGAAGAUUAAUACUCCAUAAUGUUGAGAAAUGGCAUCAUUUUUUAAUUAAAGAUUUAUCGGUACAAGAUGACUAUGCGGUCCUAUUAGCUAGAUGGUAAGGUAACGGCUUACCAUGGCAACGAUAGGUAGGGGGUCUGAGAGGAUUAUCCCCCACACUGGUACUGAGACACGGACCAGACUCCUACGGGAGGCAGCAGUGAGGAAUAUUGGUCAAUGGAGGCAACUCUGAACCAGCCAUGCCGCGUGCAGGAAGACUGCCCUAUGGGUUGUAAACUGCUUUUAUACAGGAAGAAACUUAGUUACGUGUAACUAACUGACGGUACUGUAAGAAUAAGCACCGGCUAACUCCGUGCCAGCAGCCGCGGUAAUACNGAGGGUGCAAGCGUUAUCCNGAAUCAUUGGGUUUAAAGGGUCCNCAGGCGGUCAAUUAAGUCAGAGGUGAAAUCCCAUANCUUAACUAUGGAACUGCCUUUGAUACUGGUUGACUUGAGUUAUACGGAAGUAGAUAGAAUAAGUAGUGUANCGNUGAAAUGCAUAGAUAUUACUUAGAAUACCGAUUGCGAAGGCAGUCUACUACCUAUAUACUGACGCUCAUGGACNAAAGCGUGGGGAGCGAACAGGAUUAGAUACCCUGGUAGUCCACGCCGUAAACGAUGGACACUAGUUGUUGGGUUUAUAUUCAGUGACUNANCNNAAGUGAUAANUGUCCCACCUGGGGAGUACNAUCGCCAGAUUGAAACUCAAA
rnacentral:rRNA from 1 species